AGCAAGAGCUUAUGAUGAAGCUGCUUGCUUGCUUCGCGGUGCCAAUACAAGAACAAAUUUCUGGCCUUGUUCUCCAUCUUCUUCAACGACUCCAGCUCUUCCUUCAAAGAUCACAAACCUUCUUCUCCAGAGGAUCAAAGCAAGAAACAACUCUUGCCCUUCUGUAUCCCCUUCCCCUCUACCUAUCAACCAGCAAGAAGUGGAGGAAUAUAGAGCAGAAACAACAGAUUUCUCAGACACCCAAUUCUCAGAUUUCCUCAAUGAUCCUGAAGAUUACACCACUUGCAACGAUAACAUUGAUAGUACUAGUUCAAGCGCUCUUGAUUACAUGACAACCAGCCUUGAGUCAUGUUUAACUGAGAAAGAAGAUAGUGGAGGAAGAGAAAUGGAUUUUGAUUACAACUGGAGUAAUAUAUCAGAGUCUUGUAAUGGUGAUGUUAACAACUUAGAAGCUGAAGGUGAAGAUGGGGGAGAAGAUGAAGGAGAAGAGGCUGUUAUAGGGGCCAUGGAUUUCCAAUUUGUUGAUGAUGUUGGAUCAGCUUGUUACUACUCUCCUUUCGAAAUUGCUGAAGAGAUCGAGGAGCCGGUGGAGCCAGAGACCUUUGGAGAUGAACCUUCAAUGCUUAGAGCAGCCAUGAAGAGGAUGAAAUAUGAAAGGAAGUUCUCUGCUUCUCUUUAUGCCUUCAAUGGAAUUCCUGAGUGCUUAAGGUUGAAGCUUGGAUCAGGAAAUGUGAAGGGGAGAGAAAGGUCUGCUCAAUUAGCCAAUCUUCGAAUCGCAUGUAACAAGAACAAAGAGAAGGAGAGGAAAGCAAAAGAAGAGAAUAUGGAAGCGAUGGGGAAGAAACAGGAAGAGCACUCACAAAGCUCAGUUGAAAUGGGGUCCUCUGCUUCAUCUUCUUCUUUGAGCAAUGAUGGUGAAUUGUCACUUUGGAGCUCCCUUGAUCUUCCACCAAUCUGUUUUGUUAGCUAAAUCCAUUUAUAUGAUCUUCAUUUCGUAAGCAGUUCGGUCUGAGAUUCACAAGUCAAAUAAUAGUUCAAUCAAUUUCAGA
rnacentral:misc_RNA from 1 species